UCAAUUGAACUUGCUAUUCAAUAGUUUAUCAUUAUUUCUGCUUAUUGCUAAUUCGACUGAUCAGAUGGCAGGACGUGAAAAUAACAACUACCGUUUGAAUAUUAUAGAGUGUCCGCUUCAGGUUGGUCGUUUUCGAAACAGUAGUCGGAUUCUUUCAGCCGGACGGGGGAAGGACGGGGAAAGUACGGGGAGUGGACGACCGGAGUUCCGGUCGGAGGAUACGACGCCGAUGGUGGGUGUGAAGGGCACGUAAUUAGGCGCCGUACUCGGAACGAGGUGAUAAUUGUUGCGUGUUUGCGAGACACGAGAGAGCAAAAAAAAAAACAACGGGCUGCGGGAAGUCGGGUUAGUCGCUCUCUCCAGCCCGGUCCGGAAAUUUUCCCGAGAUCCGAGUUUAUUUCCCGACAUCUGCGUGAAUUCUCACACCGUACCGUCCUCUUCACCGUCGGCAGCAGCUCA